rnacentral:rRNA from 1 species
AUUGAACGCUGGCGGCAGGCUUAACACAUGCAAGUCGAGCGGAGAGAGGUAGCUUGCUACCGAUCUUAGCGGCGGACGGGUGAGUAAUGCUUAGGAAUCUGCCUAUUAGUGGGGGACAACAUUUCGAAAGGGAUACUAAUACCGCAUACGUCCUACGGGAGAAAGCAGGGGAUCUUCGGACCUUGCGCUAAUAGAUGAGCCUAAGUCGGAUUAGCUAGUUGGUGGGGUAAAGGCCUACCAAGGCGACGAUCUGUAGCGGGUCUGAGAGGAUGAUCCGCCACACUGGGACUGAGACACGGCCCAGACUCCUACGGGAGGCAGCAGUGGGGAAUAUUGGACAAUGGGCGCAAGCCUGAUCCAGCCAUGCCGCGUGUGUGAAGAAGGCCUUAUGGUUGUAAAGCACUUUAAGCGAGGAGGAGGCUACUUUAGUUAAUACCUAGAGAUAGUGGACGUUACUCGCAGAAUAAGCACCGGCUAACUCUGUGCCAGCCGCCGCGGUAAUAC